ACUUAUAUAGUUUAAAUAAAACUUUUUAUUUUCAAUAAAAAAAAAGAGAUAACUCUUAUAAGUA
rnacentral:tRNA from 1 species